rnacentral:rRNA from 1 species
GACGUAGGUGGCGAACGUUAUCCGGAUUUAUUGGGCGUAAAGAGCGUGUAGGCGGCCAAGCAGGUCCGCUGUGAAAACUCGAGGCUCAACCUCGAGACGUCGGUGGAAACCGUUUGGCUAGAGUCCGGAAGAGGAGAGUGGAAUUCCCGGUGUAGCGGUGAAAUGCGCAGAUAUCGGGAAGAACACCCGUGGCGAAGGCGGCUCUCUGGGACGGUACUGACGCUGAGACGCGAAAGCGUGGGGAGCGAACAGG